rnacentral:rRNA from 1 species
UACGUAGGGUGCAGGCGUUAAUCGGAAUUACUGGGCGUAAAGCGUGCGCAGGCGGUCUGCUAAGAGAGAUGUGAAAUCCCCAGGCUCAACCUGGGAACUGCGUCUGAUACUGGAUGGCUUGAAUUCGGGAGAGGGAUGCAGAAUUCCAGGUGUAGCGGUGAAAUGCGUAGAUAUCUGGAGGAAUACCGGUGGCGAAGGCGGCAUCCUGGACCGACAUUGACGCUGAUGAGCGAAAGCUAGGGGAGCAAACGGG